CCUACGGGAGGCAGCAGUGAGGAAUAUUGGUCAAUGGACGAGAGUCUGAACCAGCCAAGUAGCGUGAAGGAUGACUGCCCUAUGGGUUGUAAACUUCUUUUAUAAAGGAAUAAAACGAGGCACGUGUGCCUUUUUGCAUGUACUUUAUGAAUAAGGAUCGGCUAACUCCGUGCCAGCAGCCGCGGUAAUACGGAGGAUCCGAGCGUUAUCCGGAUUUAUUGGGUUUAAAGGGAGCGUAGAUGGGUUGUUAAGUCAGUUGUGAAAGUUUGCGGCUUAACCGUAAAAUUGCAAUUGAUACUGGAAGUCUUGAGUACAGUUGAGGUAGGCGGAAUUCGUGGUGUAGCGGUGAAAUGCUUAGAUAUCACGAAGAACCCCGAUUGCGAAGGCAGCUUACUAGACUGUGACUGACAUUGAUGCUCGAAAGUGUGGGUAUCAAACAGGAUUAGAUACCCGAGUAGUC
rnacentral:rRNA from 1 species